rnacentral:lncRNA from 1 species
GUAAGGCCCAAUUUUAUGCCCAGGCCCGAAUAUUAAAACAAUAAACAACAGUCCAAUUACAAAGGAAAAUAACAAACCCAAAAUUCAACCCACUACCUAGCCCAAUAGCAGAAACCCUAGCCCAAAUAAAAAAUGUUUGCAGCAGAAAACCCUAGGCGCAGCAUGCCUAGGGCGCGCCGCUCAGCCUCGUCUGCCCCCCUCACGCAUGCACGCCUCUGACCGGUCGCCACUCGCACGCCUCAGCCUUGGCCACCACGACGCCCAUACUGUCUGACACCCCACCACCAACACCGGCCAUACCCUGCAAACACAAACAACAAAAAAGGCAGCCACAACAGAGGAAUAAGAGCAUUUUUUAUUGUUAUUGUAAUCCAUUAUAAAACCGAAGGGAAAAAUUUUGAAGUGGGGGGACGGAUGGUAUUUUGGAAAAAAGGGGGGGCUUCGAUUUUCUUUGUAAAAAGCCCACAUCAGAAAUCAAAAUCUGGAUAGAAAUUUAAAGGUUGAAUCUGUGCUAUUUUCUUCUUCGUUUUCUCUUAUUUAUUUGUUUUAUCUCAUUUUAUUUUACUUUUUUUCGCUUUUUGCAAAUCUAUCUUAAAUAACUAAUAAAAAACAAAAGCGAAAAUAAGGGGGAAGGGAACUCACCGGAAAUGGCCAUGGUUGCGCCGUCGGAGGGUCUCUCAUCCAUCGCCCGAAUCGGGUCCGAGAGGCUGAGAACUCCCCUUGUUUUCGACUCCCAUGGGUUGAGGGAGCUUUGGCUCACAAGGAUGCCACGGAGCAGGGGCUAACGGGCCCAUUCUUCGGCGCCGGUCGCCGGCCACUUUGGUGGUGCGACGGAGGUCUUGAGAAGACCGUCGGCCAUUUGAAAAAGGGGGGGCGUUGAGAAGAAAACUGAGGCUCCUUCAGUUUUUUUUGAAAAUAUGAAAAAGUGAAGUAUGAAAAAAUAUUUUUUGGGUUAUAUUAGCAGUAAAACGGCGUCGUUUGAAGGAGAGUGACCAGCGCAUUCUUGCCCUAAUGGGUAAUUUGCGUCUUUGGUCCCUCCGAUUUUGCAGCGCCAUUUAAUGCAGCCUUUUCUUUCUUUUAAUUUCGACUAUAGAAUUUCGCCCCUCUUCCAAUUCGGUCCCGCGCAAAGCAAUGCGCAUAAGAGACGGGAGAUAUUGCACAAUCGAUCCCUCAUGUCCUCAGCGCAAUUUAUUUAGGUCCCCCUAGCCACCUGUUUCAUGUAUUUGCAGUUUAAGACCCAUUUUUUUAUUUCGUUUCAACCACAUCCUUUAUAUGUUUAACCUUUUUAUAUAUGCUAUUUUAUCAUUGUUUGUUUUAAGCCUAUAUAUUUAUUAUUUAUUUGAAAUUGUUUUGCAUUAAAAUUUUUCAUAUAUUUUAUAAAAACUGUUUCUUUUAUUGUUUAAGAUUUUCUUUUGUAUAUUGUUUUAUCUUAAACUAUUUUAGAUUGACUAGUAUUUAUCUCAAGUUUUUUUGAUUCUGUUUAUUUAUUUGGUUUAAAUUCAUAUAUUAUCAUCUUAUAUAUUAUUAUCUAUAUUAAAUACUUUAAUAUUCAUAAUUUCAAAUUGUUCAUACAUUUUUAUAAUAUAUAUUUACGUGCAUACUUUUCAUUUAUUAUAAAUAUAUACUUUUUAUAUUUUAUAUUUCAUAUCUUUAUAUACAUAGAUAUACAUAAAUACAUACAUCUUAAUUCAUAUAUAUGUAUAUACAUACUUAUACCUACUUAAAUAUAUUUUCCAUAUUUCAUAAUUCUUAUAUACUUACAUAUAUUUAUGCAUAUUUUACAUCAUAUACAUACUUAUACAUAUAUUCUUUAUAUUCUUAAAAAUGCUUUUUGCAUAUUUCACAUAUUUUAUAACUCACAUACAUAUAUUUUAUAUUAUCACGAUUUGUAAAUAUAUAAACACAUUUACAUUUUUAUUUUUAUAAUACUUACCGAUUUUUUAUAUAUGUACGUACUUAUCCAUGUUUUCAUAUUCUGUAAUUUAUAUAUAUUUCUUAUUUUACGGUUUUAAAUUAUACAUGCACAUAUAUAUAUUUUACAUAAUUGUAUUCAUUGUCAUCAUUGUUAUUUGGUGUUUGUUUAUUUAUCCAUGUACACUUGUGCUUUUUCUAAAACGUUAGUUCUAUUUAUUUAUUUGUAUGCUUUGUUUAUGUAAUCGCCUCGUCAUUUCAUUUUGCCUAUUGUAUUGUUGUUACUCACUUUACUUUGCUUACCUUGUCGUAUUCGUUAUUGUUUCGUCAAUCAUUAACACCAAACAUCAAAAGGAAAAUUUUUCUAAGUAAGGCAAUAUUUCGCGUUUGGAAAAUCGAGAAAACGUGCCCUAACGUGCUGGGUUUCGAUUUCUCGUUCGACCAAAUAGCCAAAUAUCCUUUUUAAACUUUUGAAUAAGGCAAUAUUUCGCGUUUGGAAAAUCGAGGAAACGUGCCCUAACGUGCUGGGUUUCGAUUUCUCGUUCGACUAAACAGCCAAAUAUCCUCUUAAAGCUUCAAAGUAUGGUUUCAUUAAACUAUAAGGUGAUCUUGGUUUCGAUGGUUUAGAGUAUCGUGUCCUAACGUGCUGGGUGUGAUAUUCCUUCGGAACAAGAGAAUCUUAUGUUUCAAUUCACGAUAUCAGAUUUUCUUUUAAGGAUCGUAUUCUUUAAAAAAAAACUCUUCAAAUUUUCAAUUUUCGACACUAAGACACUAAUUAAUCAACUAGGUACCAAUUUUGGGCGUAUCGAGGGUGCUAAUCCUUCCUCGUGCGUAACCGGCUCCCGAACUCAUUUUUCUGAAUUUCGUAGACCAAAAUCGUUGUUUUAAUAAGAUUAAAUCAUUUAUUAAAAACAACCACUUUUUGAGGUGACCCGAUCACACCUCGUCAAAAAAGGGAUUGGUGGCGACUCCCGUUUUCUUUUUUUUUUAAAUCCAAGUCGACCCCGUUUUCAUCAAAAAAAAAUGGUGUCAACAGCUUGGCGACUCCACUGGGGAUGAUAAGAGAGUCAAGCCACGUGUUGAUUAUUUCUUGUCUUUUUGUCGAAAGUUGAAAAUUCGAUUUAAAUUUACGAUCCUCUCAUCUCUUUUGUUUUGAGUUACAUUUUUUAUCGUGUUCUGUAUUUUAUUUUAUACCUCCGCACAUUCCAUUGCAUGACCGUUGGUCACACCUUUUAAGUGGGAGUGAGAAACUACGCCUUCGUGAGGUUUUCACCUCCGCAUGGGAUAGUGAAUCGCUUCCGGGAUACAUCCGUACCUAUGUCUUCGUGAGAUUUUCACCUCCGCAUGGCCAUAGGGAAAUGUAUUCCCCUGAACUGAACUCGGUCCAUGUGAGCCUAUAAUGGGUGAGGAUCGAGGAAUCUGCUGGUUCAGGUACCCUUACUUUAGAACCAAACCACACAUAGCGAGCCAUAAGAACCCACCGAGAUAGAGCUAUUCCAGACCCUAGUGCUUACCGAAUAGAUGCUUUAUUUAUUAUUGUUUACUUUAAAUCCUAGAUCUAAUUUGCUUUAUUUGUGAUUGCAUGGCAUUUUCAUUUCAAAAGAGGUGUCGAUUCACGUUCAGUAUAGAUAGAAAGCUUAUCAUGGAAAAAAGGUUUCUUGAUAAAGUAGAAGACAAUGCAGCUGUACGAUUCUGGGCUGAGACGAAGUGGAGAGAGAAAGGCGAUAGUCUUGCAGAAGGGUACGUAUUAGAGUUAUGGGACUUCACCCGUAUCAGCGUAGUCCAAAAUGAUCUGCAAGAAAUGAAGGAAAUAUGGGAUCAAUGGGACGACGGGACCAAGCAGAUGUUUUACUGUGAUUACGGGGACUUGCCUCACCUACUUGGUGUCAAAGUGGACAAGCAUUUAUUCCGAGCCCUAGCCCAGUUUUGGAAUCCUGCUUACAGUUGUUUCACUUUUGGAAAAGUGGACUUGGUGCCCACCGUGGAAGAAUAUACGACCUUGCUUCGGUGUCCAAAGAUUCAAAUUGACAAGGCCUAUUCUAGAGCUACUAGUGUCCCGACAUUAUUAAAAAAAUUGAUGAGCAUUACAGGGAUGAGCGAACAGUGGGUCGCUGCCCGGAUCCAACAGAAAGGAGACAGUAAAUGCGUUCAUUGGAAAAACUUGCGAGAUCUAGUAUUAGCACACCCUGAUGUGAAGAAAAGAGUGGAUGUCUUCGCUUUAGGUAUCUAUGGAUUGGUAAUUUUCCCUAGAGCUUUAGGACACGUAGAUGAGGCCGUCUCUGAUUUGUUCGAUCGGCUUAGUAAAGGAGUCACGCCCAUCCCGGCAAUCUUAGCAGAAACCUUCAGAUAUCUAAGUGCAUGUCGAAGAGCAGGGGAGGGAAGGUUCAUCGGAUGCGCACAGCUACUAUUGGUGUGGUUCCAUAGUCACUUUUGGAAGGUGGAAAAUGUCUCCUAUCGAGUCUUCUCAGAAGACUAUUCUCCAUUGAAGGAACAAGUUGCUACACCAAGACGAGACGACAUCACGGAAGAAAAGUGGAUGACGAUGCUCCAAAAUCUUCAGGAGGAUGACGUUGAAUGGAAAGCUCCUUGGAUGGUACCCGACGAGAUCCUGUACCGAUGUGGGGAUUUUGACUGGGUCCCUUUACUCGGAAUUUGGGGAGCUGUCGGUUAUGCCCAUUUACUCGUAUUAAGACAAUAUAGAUCGAGACAGUUCAUACCAGCAACACAAGGGCUGGCUCAAUGUGAGUUUUCUUAUAAGGAUGAAAACUACAAGAGAAAAACUCGAGAAAUAUCUAACGCUUGGAAACAGGUCCACCGAAUGAAAAGAUUUACCGUAGGAGCGAUGGCAACUUCAGAAUAUUAUGGGUGGUGGAGUAAAAGAGUCAAUGACAACAUCCCUAAGCCGAGGGAAGAUUGCGUUCAGUCUAUAGAGGAGCAUCUACAAGUAGUUCCGUCAGAAUUAGAGAUCAUCAAACGAGACUUUGAGAAAAGAAAUUCUGAGUUGGGAAAGAGGAUAGAACAGUUAGAAGAAGAAAGAGUGCAUUUGGGAUUAGACAUCGAUAUCCACAAGCUAGAAGCCGAGAAAUUAAGGAAGGGAAAGAACAAAGCUGAAGAUGAUUUGGAUAGUCUAAAAACAGAUUACAAGAAGCUGCGAUUGUCGAUGAGAACUGUCGGUCUGGGUAAAACGUCAGAGCAGUGGCGACAAGAGAUCAAUGAGGAAAAGAAUAGGGCCAAUCAGUGGGAAAAGAAAUUUCAAGAUGCUCGAGCUCGAGAAAACGCUUUGGAAAGGAGUUUGUUAGAGUGCCGAAAUGAGAAGGCAGGAUUAAAGGCUAAGGCGACAGAGCUAGAAAAGUCACUUCACUCGUACCAUAGUCGCAACUCUAUGAUCGAAUUAAGAGCAAGCUUAAAUAAGAUCGAAGAACUGAAGGAAAAGGUAGAGGAGCUUGAGGACGCAUUACACAAUUCUGAGCUACGAAUGGAGCUUCUUGAGAGGAGUAAUGAUCAAUGGCAAGAGCAAUUCCAUCAUUCACAAAGGCAGAUUAGAGACAGAGAUUACGUUAUGGGCGAAGCUGUGACUCAAGUGCGGGAAGUGGCUGAUCAUCUGCAAACAUUAGCAGUUCAGGCCGAUGUAUUGAGUUUAAAAUAUGAGUCAGAAUCAAGCCGAGGUCGAGAUUUAGCUUGGCUUCUUAGGAAGGUUAAGGCCUUGGGUAUAAAGGCGAAGCCGUAUAUGUAAUUUAUUUUAUGUAAAGAAAUUUGCUUUCUAGUUGAGUUUUCUAAUGAAAUUGAAUUCGAAUCAAUGCCUCUUUUUUUUGCAUUCAUCUCAUACAUUUGCAUUACAUCUCAUAAAACGACCCUAAUAAAAUUAAAUUAUGACAGUUACCCUGGAAACCAACCAAAAUCUAAUCAAAUAUCACUACGGUACUCGUCGCCAAACAAAAGCAAUGGAUCAAAGGUUGGAAAGAUUGGAACAGUUGCAACGAGAGAUGCAAGAUCAGAUGCAUGAACGACUGGAAAAAAUCCAGCAAGACAUGUUAGAAUCCCAGAACACUGUGAUGAACCAAUUAAAGCAGUUAUUGGCUGGAGGAAAUAACAAAGGAAAAGAUCCUGUAGUCGAUACGGGGGAAGAUCACGAUGACCCUAUUUAUCCUCCAGGUUUCACCCCAACUAACAUUCAAGCACAACCAGAGGUGUACCCACAGAGGGUACCGGUUACCAUUAGACCUCAAUAUCUGGCUGGUACCUCGGUACCAUUGCAUUUUCAAAUGGGCUCGGGUUCUAAUCCUGGGGAUAAUCCCACUAAUCCUGUGGUCCCGGACCUCGAUGAUGUGGCAGAAACAGAAAAAACAAGAAUGAACCUGCCAAAACAACUAGAAGACCGAUGUAGAUGGUUAGAGGAAAAGUUUAGAGUCAUGGAAAACAUCGACUAUCAUCGCGGGGUUGACGCCAAGGAUCUGAGUUUGGUCCCCGAUUUAGUACUCCCACCUAAGUUCAAAAUGCCGGAAUUCGAAAAAUAUAAUGGGACUAGUUGUCCUGAAGCUCAUAUAACUAUGUUCUGUCGGAGAAUGACAGGAUACGUCAACAACGAUCAGCUGUUAAUCCACUGCUUCCAGGACAGUUUGAUCGGAUCUGCAGCCAAAUGGUACAACCAACUGAGUCGUGCUAAAGUUAGUUCAUGGAGAGACUUGGCGCAAGCUUUUAUGAAGCAAUACAGUCAUGUAACGGAUAUAACACCCGAUCGAAUUACGUUACAAAACAUGGAGAAAAAGCCUAGCGAUAAUUUCAGGCAGUACGCCCAACGAUGGAGAGAAGUGGCAACACAAGUCCAGCCACCCCUUUUGGAAAAAGAGGUCACCAUGUUGUUUAUCAACACUUUGAAAGCCCCGUUCAUCAACCACAUGUUGGGGAGUGCUACCAAGAGCUUCUCGGACAUGGUAAUGUCUGGUGAAAUGAUUGAGAACGCGGUAAGGAGCGGUAAAAUUGACACGGGGGAAAACUUCAAAAGACCGGCCCCAAGGAAAAAAGAGGGCGAAGUAAACAACGUAAGCACAUAUAGCAAGAACCAUUCAAAACCGAUUACUGUUGGCCCUCCAAAAAUGAUAACCACUAGUCACCAAGCCCCCUCGAGGCAGGAACCCAACACAAGGCCCAACACAAGGGCCAACACAGAGAGACUUCAAUUCACGCCCAUUCCAAUAACAUACGGGAAACUGUAUCAGAAGUUAUUUGAUGCACACAUAGUAUCUCCAUUUUAUCUCGAGCCCAUGCAACCUCCAUAUCCCAAAUGGUAUGACACGAAUGCCCAAUGUGAAUACCAUGCAGGGAUACCAGGACACUCAAUUGAGAACUGCACUGGGUUUAAAAAGGCGGUGGAAAGGUUCAUUAAGAUGGGGAUUGUGAAGUUUGACAACCCACUAGGACCCAACGUAGCAGCGAAUCCGUUACCCAACCAUGCUGAUAAAGGGGUAAACGCAAUAAUCGAAGGUGAGAAAAAGAGAAUCAAAACUGACAUUGCAGAGAUAAAAACCCCAUUGAGUUGGGUCUGGAGACAAAUGAUAGAAGGAGGUCUCAUCAAACAAGAUUCAAAAGAAAGGCCCGAAGGAACGAAGACGUACUGCGAGUUUCAUGCUGAAGAAGACCAUGACAUUCAAAACUGCACUGAAUUCAAGGCCAUGGUGCAAAAUCUGAUGAACAACAAAGAGCUAGAAUUUUAUGAAGAGAUCAAAGGACUUGAAAAUGGAGAAGUUUAUGCCUCGGAGGAGGGGCCUACGGGAAAGGCCCUAAAUCACCCAGUGGUGAUUAUUUCAAGGCCAACGAGUACAGGAUCUGGAAUACAACUGGCGCCAAGGGUCAUAAUCCAAAAACCUGUAGCCUUUCCUUACAAGGAUAGCAAAAAGGUUCCUUGGAAUUACGAUUGCAAUGUGAUGAUCACGGGAGAGGAGAACCCGAUAAAUGCUUCAGAAGAGGGUAAUGACGCAGGUUUCUAUACGCGUAGUGGAAAACGUUACGACCUGGGAAAUACAAAAAGGGAACCUAUAAAAGGAAAAGCCUUGGCGGUUGAACAAGAUAAAACGAAGACGACCGGAAUUGAACCGCAAAUUAACACACCGGUGACUGAAAAUGAGGCUAGAGAAUUCCUAAAAUUCUUGAAGCAUAGCGAGUAUAGCGUGGUGGAACAAUUGCAUAAGCAACCCGCUCGCAUCUCAGUGCUCGAGUUACUUCUAAGUUCAGAGAUACAUCGUAAUGCGUUGGUAAAAGUGCUAAAUGAGACCUAUGUCGCUAAAGAUAUCUCAGUGAACAAAUUGGAUCGCCUGGUUAACAAUAUAAAUGCCGAUAAUUUCAUCUUCUUCAACGAUGAUGAGAUCCCGCCAGGUGGUAUGGGAUCUACCAAGGCCUUGCACAUCACUGCCCGUUGCAAGGGGUGUAUACUACCGGCAGUACUCGUGGACAAUGGAUCGGCCCUGAAUGUUUUACCCCUGUCCACAUUAAACAGGUUACCUGUGGAUAGUUCUCACAUGAAAUCAUGUCAAAAUAUAGUGAGAGCAUUUGAUGGCACUGAGAGAAAAGUGAUGGGAAGAAUCGAGAUACCUCUAUUGAUUGGUCCAAAUACAUACGAGGUGGACUUUUUGGUAAUGGAUAUUAAACCAUCUUAUAAUUGCCUAUUGGGGAGGCCUUGGAUCCAUUCUGCAGGAGCUGUACCAUCAUCACUUCACCAAAAGUUAAAGUUGGUGAUAGAGGGUAGAUUGGUGACUAUAGGUGCAGAAGAAGACAUCAUUGCAUCAGUCACGGAUGAUAUGCCAUACAUAGAGACUGAUAGUGAAGCGAUAGAAUGUUCAUUCCGAUCAUUGGAAUUCGUAAAUGCCACAUUUGUCAUCGAGAUGAGCAAAAUCCCAGAACCUAAGAUAUCCAAAGCUACGUCAAUGAGCUUACAGCUAACGAUGGGAAAGGGAGCAUUGCCUGGAAGAGGAUUGGGAAAAUACCUCCAGGGAAGGGUCGGAGUACCGAUCCUAGUUAACAAACAGGACCGUUAUGGUUUGGGAUAUAAGCCUAAUGCGAGGGAAAGGAGGAAGGAGAUGGAGAAAAAUCAAGAAAGGAGAAGAGCACAUUUGGGCGGGAUAGAAGCCAAGUGGGGACCGAUAACCUUUCCUCUUAUAUCUAAGACCUUUGUUUCAGGGGGAAUUGUCCACCCUGAAGAGAAGGAUGAGGUUACAGAGGGAAGAAUUGAGAGGUUGGACAUCAAUGCCAUAUCCGCGGAAGAAAGGGUGGAAAGGAAUUUAUCGGGCAUUCGUCCUUACGAACCUGGAAGUGUUCUGAAUAACUGGACUGCAGAAGAGAUCCCUGUAACAUUUAAAACUAAUUCAGAGUAAUAUUCAGAACACUUGUUGCCCUAAGCCUGGGGGUGAUAAGAAUCUUUUGUAAAAGGCACAUGUCCAAAAUCUAAUUUCAGUGAAAACUUAUCAUUCAGUUUCAUCUUGAGCAAAUAUUCUUUCAUUCUUUUCAUUCCAUUUAUAAUCAUACUAUGCAUACAAGUAUUCUUAGAUUCUUUUAUUUGGGCCUCCAUUUGUUCCAAUAACAGGUCUUCAAAUAUCAACGAGAUGAGCGACUCUGUUACUAAUUCAGAGUCUCUAUUUGAGCAAGACAUAAGUAUAGAUGAUCCUCAAGAUUUUGAAGGUGGCCAAGACAGCGUUUUAUCUCCGGAUUUGUUAAGAAUGAUGGAAGAAAAAGAAAAACAAAUUCUACCCUAUAAGGAAUCAGUAGAAGUUGUGAUCUUAGAAGAGGGCAGAGAGGUAAAAAUUGGCGCUUGCAUUGCCAAGGAAACAAGGCAAGACCUUGUUGAGUUGCUUCGAGAGUUUAAAGAUGUCUUCGCGUGGUCCUACCAAGAUAUGCCAGGGUUAAGUACUGAUAUCGUGGUACACCGAUUGCCUAUAAAGGAAGAAUGCAAACCAGUCCAACAAAAGCUCCGAAGGAUGAGGCCUGACGUCUUGCUAAAAAUAAAGGAAAAAGUUAAGAAGCAAUUUGAUGCUGGUUUCUUACAGGUGGUCAAGUACUCAGAAUGGGUAGCCAAUAUAGUCCCUGUUUCUAAGAAAGAUGGGAAGGUGCGAAUGUGUGUGGACUACAGAGACUUGAACAAAGCCAGCCCAAAAGAUAAUUUCCCACUGCCUCAUAUCGAUACCUUGGUAGACAACACGGCCGGAUACUCACUGUUCUCUUUCAUGGAUGGUUUCUCCGGGUACAACCAAAUUAAGAUGCUUUCUGAAGACAGGGAGAAGACCACAUUCAUAACGAUGUGGGGGACGUUUUGUUAUAAAGUGAUGCCUUUUGGAUUGAAAAAUGCGGGAGCAACGUAUCAGAGAGCCAUGGUAGCAUUAUUCCAUGAUAUGAUGCAUAAAGAGAUAGAAGUUUAUGUUGAUGACAUGAUCGCAAAAUCCAGAACAGAAAGGGAACACGUGCAAGUUCUGAGAAAACUGUUUCUGAGGUUAAGGAAGUUCCAGCUAAAACUUAACCCAGCCAAGUGUACUUUCGGGGCUAGAUCAGGAAAAUUGCUAGGAUUCUUAGUCAGCGAAAAGGGAAUUGAAAUUGACCCAGACAAAGUUAAGGCCAUACAAGAAUUACCUCCGCCAAGUACUCAAAAAGAAGUUCGGGGUUUCCUAGGAAGACUAAAUUACAUCGCUCGAUUCAUUUCACAAUUAACUGAGAAAUGUGACCCCAUAUUUCGUCUUCUUAGGAAACACAAUCCAGGUGUAUGGGAUGAGGAGUGCCAGAAAACUUUCGAAAGAGUUAAACAUUACUUGUCCAACGCCCCAGUACUGGUGCCACCUUGCCCUGACAAACCAUUGAUACUAUACUUGGCAGUAUUUGAGAAUUCCAUGGGGUGCGUGCUCGGCCAACAUGAUGAGUCAGGACGAAAAGAAAGAGCGAUCUAUUAUCUCAGUAAGAAGUUCACUGAAUGCGAAACGAGAUAUUUGCCAAUUGAAAAAUUAUGUUGCGCAUUGGUUUGGACUACUCGGAGAUUGAGACAAUACAUGUUGUACCAUACGACUUGGUUAAUCUCAAAGUUAGACCCUCUGAAAUACAUGAUGGAGUCAACUGCUCUAAACGGAAGGAUGGCCCGAUGGCAAAUUCUACUAUCUGAAUUUGACAUAACCUAUGUGAAUCAAAAGGCUGUAAAAGGGAGCGCGAUAGCAGAUUUUCUAGCAAGUAGAGCCCUGGACGAUUAUGAGCCUUUGAACUUUGACUUUCCAAACGAGGAUCUGAUGUAUGUGGCAACUACUGAAGCGAGCACACAAGAAGGCAAUACUUGGAAAUUAAAUUUUGACGGAGCCUCAAAUGCCAUGGGCAACGGGAUUGGGGCAGUCUUGGUAUCUCCAAACGGUGAUCAUUAUCCUUUCACCAGUAAACUAGAUUUUGAUUGCACAAAUAACAUGGCGGAAUAUGAAGCAUGUAUCAUGGGAAUCCGUGCGGCUAUGGAACGCAAAAUCAAGGUACUUGAGGUAUAUGGGGAUUCGGCAUUGGUAAUUUAUCAGCUCAAAGGCGAAUGGGAAACAAGAGACCCUAAAUUGAUUAGUUACCGAAGGAUAGUCCUAGAAUUGAUUGAAGAAUUUGACGACAUCACUUUUUGUUAUCUCCCACGAGACGAGAAUCAGAUGGCCGACGCUUUAGCUACAUUGGCUUCCAUGAUCAAAGUAAACAGACCAGAGGAUGUGAAGCCUAUCCAAAUGAGCAUUUAUGAUGCUCCAGCCCACUGUUGUAAUAUUGAUGAGGAAGAAGAAAAGGACGACAACCCUUGGUAUCAGGACAUAUUGCGAUACGUGAAAAAUUGUGAAUACCCAAACCAAGCAACUGAGAAUGACAAGAGAAUGUUGAGGAGGCUGGCCAGUGGCUACGUCUUAGAUGGAGAAAUCCUGUACAAAAGAGGAAAAGAUCAGGUGCUGUUAAGAUGUGUAGACGCUGUGGAGGCCAAGCAGAUCUUGGAAGAAGUCCAUGAUGGUAUUUGUGGAACACACGCUAACGGUUUCACAAUGGCCAGACAGAUCAUGAGAUUUGGAUAUUAUUGGUCUACCAUGGAAGGAGACUGCAUCAAGUAUGCUAAGAAGUGCCAUAAAUGCCAGAUUUACGGAGACAAAAUUCAUGUGCCUCCAUCACCUCUUCACGUCAUGACUUCCCCAUGGCCUUUCUCUAUGUGGGGCAUGGACGUCAUUGGGCCGAUAUCGCCAAAGGCUUCAAACGGACAUCGUUUCAUUUUUGUAGUGAUUGACUACUUUACUAAGUGGGUAGAGGCUACUUCUUACGCCAACGUCACAAAGACAGCUGUCAGCAAGUUUUUAAAGAAGGAAAUCAUAUGUCGGUAUGGAAUGCCUGAAAGGAUCAUAUCAGACAAUGCAUUAAAUUUGAAUAAUAGCACGAUAGCAGAGGUUUGUAAUCAAUUCAAGAUCAAGCACCACAACUCAUCGCCAUAUCGUCCGAAGAUGAAUGGUGCGGUGGAGGCAGCCAAUAAAAAUAUCAAAAAGAUUGUGGGAAAAAUGACUGAAACCUAUAGAGAUUGGCACGAGAAGUUGCCAUUCGCCCUCUAUGCUUAUCGAACGUCCGUCAGGACUUCUACCGGGGCAACACCAUUCUCUUUGGUUUAUGGAAUGGAGGCAGUGCUACCAAUUGAGGUUGAAAUUCCCUCUCUCCGAGUUUUUUCAGAACUAAAGUUAGACGAAGCAGAAUGGGUCCAAGCCCGAUAUGAUCAGCUGAACUUGAUUGAAGAAAGGAGGUUAAGAGCUAUCCGUCAUGGUCAAAUGUACCAGAAACGAAUGAUGCGAGCUUACAAUAAGAGAGUUCGUCCUAGAAACUUCCAUGAAGGGGACUUGGUACUGAAGAAGAUCCUUCCCAUACAAAAGGACUUCAGAGGAAAGUGGAUGCCAAACUGGGAGGGACCUUAUGUAGUAAAAAAGGCCUUUUCAGGAGGGGCAUUAAUUUUAACUGGGAUGGAUGGCAAAAGCUUGCCCAAUCCUGUGAAUUCGGAUUCAGUGAAGAGGUACUUUGCCUAAAAAAAAAAAAAAAAAAAAAAGGGGGAGAGGCCAAGGCGAAAACCCGCAAAGGGCGCCUUGAGACCAAAGGGGCUUUGAAUUGAAAACUCAGGAAUGGGCAAUUCGAAUUUUCGAUCAAAGUUGAGGCAUAGAGUAGUUUUGUCUUCUCCGAAUUAACAAGAAGGAGAGAUGCUACACUUUGGGGCAUCAACAAAGUCUUUUAGGAUUUCUAAACACAGAGUUUGUGCGGAGAAGCUCACGCUGCGAUAUCUGGGGCACCUUUUUUUUAUCUUAUUUACAUCUUAGCAAAAUUUGCUAUUUGUUCAUUUAGAGCUCUGCUCUCAAUAAAUUCCAUCUUAUUCAUUGUGAUGAUCUUUUUCAUCAUAUAUCAGCAAAAUUUGCUAUCUUGAUUGAUUUGUUCAUUUCGAGCUUUGCUCUUAGCAAAAUUUUAUUUUGUCCAUUUUGAUAAUCUUUCAAGCAUUCUUCUUUGAAAUAACGAUUAAUGGAUCGACAAUACACAUGCAGAAGGAGUUCUGCAUAUUACUCUGAAAGUUUCUAAAUAACACGAGGACCUGAAACAGGACUGUUGUUUAGAGCUGACCAAACUUAAGGGUUAGAAGCAUUGGAGGAAGAAUAGUCUAAAUUGCAUCUACUUCUUUAGGUUUUCUGUCAAAGGUACUGGCUGAACAAGAGUGCAUCAGUAAUAGAACCUUGAUGAACAAUGAGGAAUGACAACCUAAGCAUUAAAAAUGGAUCAUUCUCAUGACAUUCUACAAAUAUAAUACAUACACAUCUAGUUAGGAGCAUUUGAUUCAUUCUGAUCAUGUCAUCCUAAACACUAGGCGUAAAUAGGUCCUAUCUUCCUAUAUUGGUAGGAAGUGGAUCGAAGAUGCAGAUCUUGUCUUCCCAUAUUGGUGGCGAAGUAGAUCGCAGAAAGCAGAUCUUGUCUUCAUGUAUUGGCGUGAAGUAGAUCGAAGGUAGCAGAUCCUAUCUUCCUAUAUUGGUAGGAAGUGGAUCGAAGAUGCAGAUCUUGUCUUCCCAUAUUGGUGGCGAAGUAGAUCGCAAAAAGCAGAUCUUGUCUUCAUGUAUUGGCGUGAAGUAGAUCGAAAAUAGGUCCUAUCUUCCUAUAUUGGUAGGAAGUGGAUCGAAGAUGCAGAUCUUGUCUUCCCAUAUUGGUGGCGAAGUAGAUCGCAGAAAGCAGAUCUUGUCUUCAUGUAUUGGCGUGAAGUAGAUCGAAGGUAGCAGAUCCUAUCUUCCUAUAUUGGUAGGAAGUGGAUCGAAGAUGCAGAUCUUGUCUUCCCAUAUUGGUGGCGAAGUAGAUCGCAAAAAGCAGAUCUUGUCUUCAUGUAUUGGCGUGAAGUAGAUCGAAGGUAGCAGAUCCUAUCUUCCUAUAUUGGUAGGAAGUGGAUCGAAGAUGCAGAUCUUGUCUUCCCAUAUUGGUGGCGAAGUAGAUCGCAGAAAGCAGAUCUUGUCUUCAUGUAUUGGCGUGAAGUAGAUCGAAGGUAGCAGAUCCUAUCUUCCUAUAUUGGUAGGAAGUGGAUCGAAGAUGCAGAUCUUGUCUUCCCAUAUUGGUGGCGAAGUAGAUCGCAGAAAGCAGAUCUUGUCUUCAUGUAUUAGCGUGAAGUAGAUCGAAGGUAGCAGAUCCUAUCUUCCUAUAUUGGUAGGAAGUGGAUCGAAGAUGCAGAUCUUGUCUUCAUGUAUUGGCGUGAAGUAGAUCGAAGAUUGUAGAUCUUGCCUUCCUGUAGUUGACAGUGAAGCAGAUCGAAGAUGGCAGAUUUUACCUCCCUGACUACAGUGGAGUACAUUGAAGCCGAUAACUCUAUCUCCCUGCAUUUGACAGUGGAAUAGAUUGAAGAUCAAAGAUGGCAGAUUCUACCUCCCUGACUACAGUGGAGUACAUUGAAGCCAAUAACUCUAUCUCCAUACAUUCAACAGUGGAAUAGAGUGAAGAGCACAAAUCUUAUCUCCCUAAGCAGUAAUGGAGCAGACGAAGAAAAACACAAAUCUCAUGGAAUCGUAGCAGAGUAGAUUGAAGCUACAAGGCGUAUCUGAAGUUGCAGUAGAGCAGAUCGAAGAAUCAUAAGACGCAGUGGACUAGAAUGAGGUUACUUGAAGAAAGGAAGCACCAAAAGAAGUCAAAACUCGACGAGCCCAGGCAAAAUUGGCCUUUCUUAGUCUUUGCUCUGUUCUCGUUACACGAUAACAAGCAAAGAGGGGCAGCUGUAAGGCCCAAUUUUAUGCCCAGGCCCGAAUAUUAAAACAAUAAACAACAGUCCAAUUACAAAGGAAAAUAACAAACCCAAAAUUCAACCCACUACCUAGCCCAAUAGCAGAAACCCUAGCCCAAAUAAAAAAUGUUUGCAGCAGAAAACCCUAGGCGCAGCAUGCCUAGGGCGCGCCGCUCAGCCUCGUCUGCCCCCCUCACGCAUGCACGCCUCUGACCGGUCGCCACUCGCACGCCUCAGCCUUGGCCACCACGACGCCCAUACUGUCUGACACCCCACCACCAACACCGGCCA